rnacentral:rRNA from 1 species
GACGAACGCUGGCGGCGUGCUUAACACAUGCAAGUCGAGCGGUAAGGCCUUUCGGGGUACACGAGCGGCGAAAGGGUGAGUAACACGUGGGUGAUCUGCCCUGCACUUCGGGAUAAGCCUGGGAAACUGGGUCUAAUACCGGAUAUGACCUCCUAUCGCACGGUGGGUGGUGGAAAGAUUUAUCGGUGCAGGAUGGGCCCGCGGCCUAUCAGCUUGUUGGUGGGGUAAUGGCCUACCAAGGCGACGACGGGUAGCCGACCUGAGAGGGUAACCGGCCACACUGGGACUGAGACACGGCCCAGACUCCUACGGGAGGCAGCAGUGGGGAAUAUUGCACAAUGGGCGAAAGCCUGAUGCAGCGACGCCGCGUGAGGGAUGACGGCCUUCGGGUUGUAAACCUCUUUCAGCAGGGACGAAGCGCAAGUGACGGUACCUGCAGAAGAAGCACCGGCUAACUACGUG